rnacentral:rRNA from 1 species
AUUGAACGCUGGCGGCAGGCCUAACACAUGCAAGUCGAACGCGUCGCGGACGGGAGAGUAAUGUCUGGGAAACUGCUUGAUGGAGGGGGAUAACUACUGGAAACGGUAGCUAAUACCGCAUACCAUCGGAUGUGCCCAGAUGGGAGUAGCUAGUAGGUGGGGUAAAGGCUUACCUAGGCGACGAUCCCUAGCUGGUCUGAGAGGAUGACCAGCCACACUGGAACUGAGACACGGUCCAGACUCCUACGGGAGGCAGCAGUGGGGAAUAUUGCACAAUGGGCGCAAGCCUGAUGCAGCCAUGCCGCGUGUGUGAAGAAGGCCUUCGGGUUGUAAAGUACUUUCAGCGGGGAGGCGGUACCCGCAGAAGAAGCACCGGCUAACUCCGUGCCAGCAGCCGCGGUAAUUC